rnacentral:lncRNA from 1 species
GACUCCUUCCCCUACAAGGAACUCUUGAAUGGUAUCCUAUGAGAAGUUGAAGGAAAGAUCUUAUUCAAGUGAUUAAUAUCCGCUUGAGUAACCCAAUCUGAGUCUGAUUUUUUCGUUAACGAUUCAGGUGUUUAUUUUGGAUGGUCCGGAGUUUUUGGCUGCAACUAUGUUGGACAGAGAUAUGCUUGCUAUGGCUGGAAAUUGGUACCAUGUCG